CGGACGGGUGAGUAACGCGUGGAUAACCUGCCGUAUACCGGGGGAGUAACACUUAGAAAUAGGUGCUAAUACCGCAUAAGCGCACGGCUCCGCAUGGGGCAGUGUGAAAAACUCCGGUGGUAUACGAUGGAUCCGCGUCUGAUUAGCUAGUUGGCGGGGUAACGGCCCACCAAGGCAGCGAUCAGUAGCCGGCCUGAGAGGGUGGACGGCCACAUUGGGACUGAGACACGGCCCAAACUCCUACGGGAGGCAGCAG
rnacentral:rRNA from 1 species